rnacentral:rRNA from 1 species
GACGAACGCUGGCGGCGUGCUUAACACAUGCAAGUCGAACGAAGAGCGAUGGAAGCUUGCUUCUAUCAAUCUUAGUGGCGAACGGGUGAGUAACGCGUAAUCAACCUGCCCUUCAGAGGGGGACAACAGUUGGAAACGACUGCUAAUACCGCAUACGAUCUAAUCUCGGCAUCGAGGAUAGAUGAAAGGUGGCCUCUAUUUAUAAGCUAUCACUGAAGGAGGGGAUUGCGUCUGAUUAGCUAGUUGGAGGGGUAACGGCCCACCAAGGCGAUGAUCAGUAGCCGGUCUGAGAGGAUGAACGGCCACAUUGGGACUGAGACACGGCCCAGACUCCUACGGGAGGCAGCAGUGGGGAAUCUUCCGCAAUGGACGAAAGUCUGACGGAGCAACGCCGCGUGAGUGAUGACGGCCUCGGUU